GAUGAACGCUAGCGGCAGGCUUAAUACAUGCAAGUCGAGGGGCAGCAUGAUUGUAGCAAUACAAUUGAUGGCGACCGGCAAACGGGUGCGGAACACGUACACAACCUUCCAAUAAGUGGGGAAUAGCCCAGAGAAAUUUGGAUUAAUACCCCGUAACGUAACGAUGUGGCAUCACAUUGUUAUUAUAGAUUUUUCGCUUAUUGAUGGGUGUGCGGCUGAUUAGAUAGUUGGCGGGGUAACGGCCCACCAAGUCUACGAUCAGUAGCUGAUGUGAGAGCAUGAUCAGCCACACGGGCACUGAGACACGGGCCCGACUCCUACGGGAGGCAGCAGUAAGGAAUAUUGGGCAAUGGACGCAAGUCUGAUCCAGCCAUUCCGCGUGAAGGAUUAAGGUCCUCUGGAUUGUAAACUUCUUUUAUAAGGGACGAAAAAAGGCUUUUCUAAGUCGUCUGACGGUACCUUAUGAAUAAGCACCGGCUAACUCCGUGCCAGCCGCCGCAGUAAAAC
rnacentral:rRNA from 1 species